UCCCAUCUGUGUCUGCAGGAGUCACCCUGAAGUUGACAGGAAUAUGAGUCAAAUGGCAGAUUCGCUUUGCCCCUGCGUUUUCACAGAAGGUACAAUUACAAAUGGACGAAUUUGUGGCUUAAUAUCUUUCAAGAUAAGGCUGAAGGCCUUGAUGCCUGCUUCACCCUCACCUCUAAACCCUCAGGUGUCUACUUUGUACACAGACUGGCAGUUGGAGUCCUAUUGGCUAUCCCGGAAGUCCUGCUGGACAGAACGUAAAAUGGUUCCAGGAUGGCUCCACUCUUGUUGUCUAUACCUGGUCUACAGGAAAAGCUCAGGAACUUUUUGCCCUUCCACAAAGGAGCCAGUGACCAUCGCUACCAAAGUCCAGCAGGAGAGAGGAUGAGCACCCUGGGCAGACACGGGAGGAACAAUCCAAAGUAGUCCAAAUUGUUUAAGACUUCUAUCUUAUUUUUUCAGUCA
rnacentral:lncRNA from 1 species